rnacentral:pre_miRNA from 1 species
UAUUCACGAUGGUGAUGAUGGUGGUGGUGGUGGUGGUGGUGGUGGGGGUGGUGGUGGUUAUUGAUCACGAUCGUCGUCGUCGCCAUCGCCACCAUGACACACAUUUCAUGGGUCAGCAAAACCGCCACCACCACCACCACCACCAUCAUCAUCAUCGUCA